rnacentral:rRNA from 1 species
UACAGAGGUCUCAAGCGUUGUUCGGAUUCAUUGGGCGUAAAGGGUGCGUAGGUGGUCGGGUAAGUUUGAUGUGAAAUCUCCGGGCUUAACCCGGAAACUGCAUUGAAUACUAUUCGGCUGGAGGGUUGGAGGGGAGACUGGAAUACUUGGUGUAGCAGUGAAAUGCGUAGAUAUCAAGUGGAACACCAGUGGCGAAGGCGAGUCUCUGGACAACUCCUGACACUGAGGCGCGAAAGCUAGGGGAGCAAACAGG